rnacentral:rRNA from 1 species
AUUGAACGCUGGCGGCAGGCUUAACACAUGCAAGUCGAGCGGAGCGAGGGUGCUUGCACCUUAGCUUAGCGGCGGACGGGUGAGUAAUGCUUAGGAAUCUGCCUAUUAGUGGGGGACAACAUUCCGAAAGGAAUGCUAAUACCGCAUACGCCCUACGGGGGAAAGCAGGGGAGCUUCGAACCUUGCGCUAAUAGAUGAGCCUAAGUCGGAUUAGCGAGUUGGUGGGGUAAAGGCCUACCAAGGCGACGAUCUGUAGCGGGUCUGAGAGGAUGAUCCGCCACACUGGGACUGAGGCACGGCCCAGACUCCUACGGGAGGCAGCAGUGGGGAAUAUUGGACAAUGGGCGGAAGCCUGAUCCAGCCAUGCCGCGUGUGUGAAGAAGGCCUUUUGGUCGUAAAGCACUUUAAGCGAGGAGGAGGCUACUUAGAUUAAUACUCUGGGAUAGUGGACGUUACUCGCAGAAUAAGCACCGGCUAACUCUGUGCCAGCCGCCGCAGUAA